rnacentral:tRNA from 1 species
GCUCCGAUGGCGUAGUGAUCAGUGCGCUCGCCUUGCACGCGGAAGACUCGGGUUCAAUUCCCGGUGGAGUC